rnacentral:sRNA from 1 species
ACAAAUUUGCACAGCCGAAGGCUAGCCUCUGGUGAGAGCCAAGGAUGGCUCUCAUAAU